AUGCGCGCGUCAGGUGCUCCGUCCCUUCCAGGUGGCAGAGGAGAGGGAAGGGUCGCGCCUGGUGGGGGCCUGAGAGCCACCGGGCUGCGGUGCGCGAGUGUGGACACCGCCCCGCCUUCUGCGUCUACAGCCCUGGGUUCUGGGACCUUUGGAAACCGCUUUGGACGAAGCUGAGCAUCUCUUUCCCCACGCUGACCUCCCCCAUAGACUCCGGAUGGGAGUAAAUGAGGGUUGCAGUGAGGACCUGGAAGGUCAAGAGACAAGGUAGCCCAGCACCUGGCCCUCAUGCUCCUGGGAAAUCCAGAAACUCUAGAGAAGCUUGUUUGCCAAACCUUGCUUUGGGCGGUGGAGACAGAAUAUCAUGUCCCAGAUCAGCGUGUGGUGACUGUGGAGGCAUUUACACACAGCACACUCCAGCUCUGCCACUGGGCCGGCUGAGGUGGCUGCGGUACACGGCGCCCAUCCUGAGCCCCAGGUUCCUCACAUGUCAACAGCAUGAAAAGUGCCUCUAAGACAUCCACAGGUGUGCAGUGUUAAAGCAGGCAGCGCCUCAGCUUGGUUAGCUCCCUUAAGGACUGCGGCUCCCUUAGGACAAGGCUCUGUCCCUCAGAGCACUGAGUGCGAUCUCAUGCUGGCAUCUUAGAGACAUUGUAUUCACCAGGUAAGAUGGAUUCACAUCUGCUGGGUGCACGAACACUUCCUCCUUCCUUGCCACCAGCCAGCAUCACAACCAGCCUGGCCAGGCUCCCGUCCCAGCCCAGCCUAGCAGCUAACCCCAGCUCCAUCCCCCAGCAAGCCCCUCUGCCUGCACCUCAGCUUCUUCAUGGAAGACGAGUCAGGUCAUGAUGCCACCAGGGAGCGUGUUUCCAUGUUGAACUGAGACACUAAGCCCUUGACAAAUGUUGGCCAAGAAAAAAAAGGGGCUCCAAGAGGGGAGCUGUGGCUCAGGUAGAAGACGGUGAAUGAGCAUUGCCUGAAUCAGAGUUAGCUACUCUGGUUACACAGGUGUCCCCGGCAGGUUGGUCAAAAGCCCUUCCCUGAGUCCCGUGAUAAGUGUGGGGAGGGAGGCAAAUCAAAGACCCCUACACACCUCCUGCAUGGAUGGCCAGAGCGCUGGUCCCACCUCCUUCCUUCCAAACUGCAACCCCGAUCAGCACAGCAGAGAAGUCUCCUGUGGCAGGGACCAGUAAUUCAGUGCUUCCCCUGGAGAGUCUGGGAUUGCACAGAACACCAGAGGCUGGGGAUUUAUUUGUUCACCAACAUUCAUUCAACAAACACUUACUGAGGCCAACACUGGGAAUGGAGACGAACUUCCCUGUCCUCAUGGAGCUUGCUUUCAAAAGGGAAGGAGGCAGACAGUAAACAAAACAAGCAAGUCAAUAUACAGCAUGAUGCAGAAAAGGUGUGAUGCCACCCUCUUGCCUGAGUUUAUAACAAGCAGAUGAUGUUGUCCUAAGAAUUAAUUUCAGCCGGUGAAAGAGUACAGGCAAAAAACGUGGUCUCGGACUUUCCGGUGAUGCUUAAGAACAUAGUUGCAGUUUUUGUUCUGAUUCUUUGUGCAUCUCGCGCUAAUGAAGGAUUCUGCCAUGAUUGCCACCUCUGGAGACGUCACAGCCAGCACAGCCAUGACCAGGGAUGAACUUGGCCAUUGUCCAGCAGCACCAUGGGAGGACCAGCUGCUGUAAGUGAAGGUCAUCAUCCAUCUGAUUUGCUGGCUUUUUGCAACUACUGCGGUGGAAGUCUUAGAGUAGCCACCUUCUCUGUACUCAGACCUUCACUUCGCCAGAUGUCAGCACAGCAGUGUCAGCAGCUUCGUCAAACACAAACACCACCACCUCUCUGGAUCAGAAGCACAUGGAAAGCCCACCUUGCAAGAAGACCCAGCUAUUCCAAAAGUACCCAUAUCCCUGUAGCAUCCUCUUAGCUGAAUGUCUCUACUCCUUAAACUUGUACCACUUUGAAGAGUAAAAAUUUAAAUUCAUUCAUAUUAUCAUUUUUUAGUUUUUAGUAUAAGUGGAGCUGUUUAUCGGCCAUUUGUAUGUCCUUUUCUUUUUUUUGCAAAUUACUCCUUUGCCAAAUUUUCUCUCAAAUGACUCAUCUUUUUCUUAUUGAUUUGCAGAAGCUAUUUACAUAUUAUGGAUGUGGGGUGUCUAACAUACACAGCAAAUACUUUGUCCCAGUGUGUCACUUUUUAAAAAAAUUCUUAUAAUGUCUUUCAUCUUUAAAAAAUUAUUAAGCUAUUGUGAGCUUUUAUGCCUUUUCAGUUUAUUUUCUUACAUAGAUAAUUAUAUGAAGUGCAAAUAGGGGCAGUGUUAGUCUCAUCUUCCCAAGGCUGCACCUCAGAUGUGGAAUGUUGACAGCAACAUCUGUUACCUUGUUUCUGUUUUUAGGAUUUUAGCGUUAAGGCCAGGCAUAAUGGUUCAUGCCUGUAAUUCCAGCACUUUGGGAGGCCGAGGUGGGCAGAUCACUUGAAGCCAGGAGUUCAAGACCAGCCUGGCCAACAUGGAGAAACCCUCUCUAUUUUUAAAUACAUUUAAAAUGUUAACAAUUAAAACAAAAUAUUUUACCGUUAGUAUGAUGCUUGAUACAGGAUUUCUGGUACAUACGCCUUAUCAAAUUAAAUAAGUUUCCUUUUACUCUUGUUUAUUGUUAUUUUUUAAAAUAAGGAAUGAAUCUUGGAUUUUAGUGUAUCAAUAAUUAUAUUUUAUUCUUUAACUUCAUAAUAUUCCUUAUAAUUCCUUAUGUCAUAUUAAAGAUGUAAAUUCAUAUAUAUUUUAUCAUACAAAUGAUUAAUAAAUGUAUAAGCAUGUCAU
ensembl:lncRNA LINC01018 long intergenic non-protein coding RNA 1018